rnacentral:rRNA from 1 species
GACGUAAGGGGCUAGCGUUGUCCGGAAUUACUGGGCGUAAAGAGCACGUAGGCGGCCUAACCAGCGGCGGGUGAAAUCCCGCGGCUCAACUGCGGAACUGCUUGCCGAACUGUUAGGCUGGAGGACGGGAGAGGGCAGUGGAAUUCCUGGUGUAGCGGUGGAAUGCGUCAAUAUCAGGAAGAACACCGGUGGCGAAGGCUGCUGCCUGGAACGUUUCUGACGCUGAGGUGCGAAAGCUAGGGGAGCGAAC